AGAGAGGGGCUAGUUUCCAGAAAUCGGUAGGGUCACACACAUGGUGGCACCUGCUCCAGACCUUGUCUGUACAGAUACAGGGCACUUCUGCUAGCUCAAGUUUUUACUUCCUCCAGGGGGAAGAGAAUGCAUGAGAGGCAGCUGUAUGCCACAACGUGCUGUCGUGGCCACCUGGUAGUGCAGAACCAGAGGGCAGGUCUGCUGCCGUUGUGCUGUGUGUGAUCUUGACCCAUGCAGAAUAUUUGGAACAGGAGUGUUUUGAACAUAAAAAGGGAAGUGUUCGAGUUGGUCUUCCCUUCUGAUAGACAAAUAUGCAUUGACAGUUCUUCUGUUUAUUCAGGAACCAUUUUGCCUUUAAAAUAGUGUUAAAAAUCCUGUUGAUUUAAUCUCUUUAGAAGUAUGUGACAAAUCAUUCUGGCUGAAGUACUGUUCCCACAUUGAUCUCUACCUUUUUAUUUUAAACCUCUUUUCCCUUGGGACAGGGUAACAUUGAGAUGUAGCCAUAAUGAUGUUCAAAAGAGCAUCAGCCAUUUUCAAGGGCAGGGAGCAGGGCAAAGGCAGGGGAAGGCAAGCAGCCAGCAAGGACUGAGCUCAGAUUUAUCUACUUCCUGAGCAAGUGGGGUGAGGAAGAAAGAAGGAUGAAGCAUGUGAUAAUUGACAGUGGGCAGUGGCCCCAAGGUCACAGCAAGAGUGAAGAUUGUUGAAGUUGGGUCUGAACCACCUCCAUCUCAGCCCUGGGAGACGUUAUCUUGGCAGCUAAUUCCGCUUUAUGGCAGACUGACCAUUAUAUGUAUAUCUCCAGAAAAACAAAAAAUUAAUCACAGGAUCAGAAUACACUCUGGAUUUUCUUCCCACGUGCAGACUACGUCUUCUGAAGUGUUGAAUCCAUGCACAGCAACACCUUCCUCAGGUUCCUCUCAGACUUUUCACCACGUGAAGCUCCAAGAGAAUCACCACGUGAGGACUGCCAGCACUCCCUCACUCGCUGACGGGGAGAACGGAGAGGGCAUGGGGAUUACUUUAGCAACAGAAAAGAAAUACACAUACAGAAUGAGAUAUCAUGUCACAGGAAAUGAGACGUCAAUGCAAAUUAACUCUGUGACUUUUACAAAAAGGCAAAACUAAGAUUUUAAGUAAGAUUUGAACAGGUCUUUUGCACUUUGUGGGACAGUCCUUCUCAUAUCGGUCUUGUGUUGGUCUCAGGUGCUGGUGCUGUUCCUUGAUUUUAUGCUGUUCCCCGGUGGUGUUAGGUCAGGACCUUCUUUUCCAGUGUUUUUUUUUUUUCUUCUCUACUUUAUGAUUCUGUCAAACACUCUUAAAGUCUUAGGUGCUCUGCAGAAAUAAUUUCUUGUGUGCAAUCUGGGUCUCUGACACCUGUCACAGACAGGCCCUCAUUUCACCUUCCCUCCUACUUAUAGCCUUUCAGCUGCCAAAAUCUAGUUUUUUUUUCCUACUGAGCUAGGCUUAAUGCCGAUAACAUAUUAUAAAUUUUAUAAAUGUAAACGUUUCUCACUUUCUCAUUUUCCAGUUUAUUUGGCCAAAUGACAGGUGGGGAUUAUAAUGCUGACUGAAUAACAGUGUCUCCCAAUGACUAUGCAAAAUAGAUUUGUAAUUUACCAUGUGCUGAAAAAAAAACUUUAAUGAAUCUGCACCUACAGCAUAGCAGUAUUCUAGUUAUGGAUUUGGAUUAGUAUUUUACUGUUUGCUUACAUACUGACUGUACUUUUAAAUUAAGACUGGCAAUAUGGAGUGUACAGAAAAAAAAAAAACAACUUUGGAGGAUCUUAUAGAAAUUUGAAGCAAGGAGGCUUCAAAGAAGAAAUUUGAAGCUCUUAGGCAUCAUAUGGAAAACAUAUGUGAAGCACAAGUUUUUUCUGCUUUUUUGACACAAGUCCACUUGAUUUACUUGUAAAGAAUUUUUAUCACAUUUUUCUUUCUUGCCAUUUCUGAUCCCCAGAGUCUUUCACCCAUAUUAUAUCAGACAAGCCAUUCUACAGAAUUUAAGACUUUGACACAUAAAGGACAACUAUUUCCACUGUAUAAAAAAGGAUUGGAUUAGCUAUGUGACAGACAGGUAAAUAGACCAAGUCGUUUAGAAAUACAUUGUCUUGAUUUAACCACGCUUAGUUUCAGCCUUAGCUUCUUUCAAUACCUGCAUGCAUUAAAGGAGUUUUUAAGGUGUCCUAACUUUCCCUCAUCUAUCAGAUGUUUUAUUUCUUCUUUUAUAUCUUGUUCCUUCUGCAUCUUUAUGUUUUUGUCUUUGUGUAGAUGACUUAAUUUGAGUUAAUAAUUAAAACUUAAUGUGAUAGAAAAUACUUUGGGAAAUACUAGUCCAAAUUAAUCAGAGGAGUUUUUGUCUGUCUUUUGUAAGUUCCUCUUAUCAGAUUGUUUUAUGAAAUAUACAGAAGUGAGAAGAACAUUGAGAUAAUCCUUCUUGCCUGUUAGUGUAAAAAUGAUUCUUCUGUCAUUCUGGGAACACCUCAGAGCAAACGUGGAUGUAGCUCUUCCCUGUAGCUACUCCUCUGGAUAAAUAAUUGUAUGUUACUGUAUGCUUAGACCUGAGCCCCAGACCAUGUUUUUAAUGCAGUGAAAAUAUUAGCAUUAAAUUCUUUACAUAUUAUUUCUCUCUAAAGAUUUAUCUUCUGUGAAUUCCCUGUAUUGCAAGGCAGUAGCAGAAAGCAUUGCUCAAAUGACAUGUAUGAAAAAAAAAAAAUCAUAUGAGAAAUCUGAUCACUUCAAUGAACAACAAAUGUUGCUACGUUGUUUUCCCACUGAAAUUUAUGACAGAAUCCAGGUGCAUUUUCUUUGAGUAUUGCAAUAAUAUUAGGUAGUGCAAUAUAAAACUUAAAUCAUUUUUUCCCAUUUGGUUAUUAAUUGCGCAUUUCUCUUAUAGUCAAGCCAUUCUCAUUUGUUGAAAUGCCAGUUCUUAAUAUAUCUCAUAAUGUCUGGUGGAGGAUGAAAUUACUCACAAGAGAGGGCCCUCAGAGAAGGAUCAAUGUAUUUAUAUUAAUGUAAAUUACCACUGAUUAAUGAAUGCUGUAACCAGUAAGGAAUUAAAUACUUACGGUAUUCCUUUUUUGGAACCUAAACUUCCAGUCAAUUUUUUAAGUUAACAGUAAGAAUAAUAUGUGAAGUACAGAAGAUAGGAGUAGUAACAGUCUAACCAGUAGUCUUUUUCCAUGAAAAGAAAUACCGUUUUGAAGAGGAAACUAAAAUCAGAGGUAAGAUAUAUGUAGAUUUAGAAACGUAUGCUGAAUGUAUACUCCAGAUGGGGUCUCACGCGAGUGGAGAAGAGGGGGGAGAAUCACCUCCUUUGACCUGCUGGUUCUUUUGAUGCAGCUUUCUGGUCUGCAAGCUCACAUAGUUUCUCUGUAACCCUGGAAUAAAUAAGUGUUUGUAAUUAUGUGUAAUUAUACU
rnacentral:lncRNA from 1 species